rnacentral:rRNA from 1 species
AGAGUUUGAUCCUGGCUCAGGACGAACGCUGGCGGCGUGCCUAACACAUGCAAGUCGAGCGAUGAAAUCCUUCGGGAUGGAUUAGCGGCGGACGGGUGAGUAACACGUGGGUAACCUGCCUCAAAGAGGGGAAUAGCCUUCCGAAAGGAAGAUUAAUACCGCAUAAUAUGUUUUGGUCGCAUGACCUAGACAUCAAAGGAGUAAUCCGCUUUGAGAUGGACCCGCGGCGCAUUAGCUAGUUGGUGAGGUAACGGCUCACCAAGGCGACGAUGCGUAGCCGACCUGAGAGGGUGAUCGGCCACAUUGGAACUGAGACACGGUCCAGACUCCUACGGGAGGCAGCAGUGGGGAAUAUUGCGCAAUGGGGGAAACCCUGACGCAGCAACGCCGCGUGAAUGAUGAAGGCCUUCGGGUUGUAAAGUUCUGUCUUCUGGGACGAUAAUGACGGUACCAGAAGAGGAAGCCACGGCUAACUACGUGCCAGCAGCCGCGGUAAUACGUAGGUGGCAAGCGUUGUCCGGAUUUACUGGGCGUAAAGGAUGCGUAGGUGGAUAUUUAAGUCAGAUGUGAAAUACCCGAGCUUAACUUGGGUGCCGCAUUUGAAACUGGAUAUCUAGAGUGCAGGAGAGGUAAGUGGAAUUCCUAGUGUAGCGGUGAAAUGCGUAGAGAUUAGGAAGAACACCAGUGGCGAAGGCGACUUACUGGACUGUAACUGACACUGAGGCAUGAAAGCGUGGGGAGCAAACAGGAUUAGAUACCCUGGUAGUCCACGCCGUAAACGAUGAGUACUAGGUGUAGGA